AGAGUUUGAUCAUGGCUCAGAAUCAACGCUGGCGGCGUGCCUCAGACAUGCAAGUCGAACGAUUAAGACUCUCUUCGGAGAGUGCAUAAAGUGGCGCACGGGUGAGUAACACGUAAGUAAUCUACCUUCGAGUGGGGAAUAACGUUCGGAAACGAACGCUAAUACCGCAUAAUGCAGCGGCAUCGCAAGAUGACAGUUGUUAAAGAUUUAUCGCUUGAAGAGGAGCUUGCGGCAGAUUAGCUAGUUGGUAAGGUAACGGCUUACCAAGGCGACGAUCUGUAUCCGGUCUAAGAGGACGGUCGGACACACUGACACUGAAUAACGGGUCAGACUCCUACGGGAGGCAGCAGUCGGGAAUUUUGGGCAAUGGGCGAAAGCCUGACCCAGCAACGCCGCGUGAAGGAUGAAGUUUUUCGGAAUGUAAACUUCGUAAGAAUAGGAAGAAUAAAUGACGGUACUAUUUGUAAGGUCCGGCUAACUACGUGCCAGCAGCCGCGGUAAUACGUAGGGACCAAGCGUUGUUCGGAUUUACUGGGCGUAAAGGGCGCGUAGGCGGCAAUUCAAGUCAGCUGUGAAAUCUCCGGGCUUAACUCGGAACGGUCAGCUGAUACUGCUUUGCUAGAGUACAGAAGGGGCAAUCGGAAUUCUUGGUGUAGCGGUGAAAUGCGUAGAUAUCAAGAGGAACACCUGAGGUGAAGACGGGUUGCUGGGCUGAUACUGACGCUGAGGCGCGAAAGCUAGGGUAGCAAACGGGAUUAGAUACCCUAGUAGUCC
rnacentral:rRNA from 1 species